rnacentral:rRNA from 1 species
AGGAUGAACGCUGGCGGCGUGCUUAACACAUGCAAGUCGAACGAAGCACCUUAAUUGAUUUCUUCGGAAUGAAGUUAUGUGACUGAGUGGCGGACGGGUGAGUAACGCGUGGGUAACCUGCCUCACACAGGGGGAUAACAGUUGGAAACGGCUGCUAAUACCGCAUAAGCGCACGGUAUCGCAUGAUACAGUGUGAAAAACUCCGGUGGUAUAAGAUGGACCCGCGUCUGAUUAGCUAGUUGGUGAGGUAACGGCCCACCAAGGCGACGAUCAGUAGCCGGCCUGAGAGGGUGAACGGCCACAUUGGGACUGAGACACGGCCCAAACUCCUACGGGAGGCAGCAGUGGGGAAUAUUGCACAAUGGGGGAAACCCUGAUGCAGCGACGCCGCGUGAGUGAUGAAGUAUUUCGGUAUGUAAAACUCUAUCAGCAGGGAAGAUAAUGACGGUACCUGACUAAGAAGCACCGGCUAAAUACGUG